rnacentral:lncRNA from 1 species
GGAAUUGUGAAAGCAGGCAAAGAUCGAAACACCUCUCUGCCUUUCUUCAGGUUCUCUUGGAAAGGGCGGGUCUGUGAGGGGGAAGCGCCCUGCACGCAAAGGAGUUUUGCAGGAGGCAGGAGCCUCCUCCCGAUCCGGGAGGGGCCCGGGAGUCUGCGCCCAAAGCCAUACCAAGAGGGUUAGAGACAAAAAUGAAGAGGAGAUGGAGAUAUGGAAGGACAAAUGCAACAAACGUAUUGAAAAGAAACUUUGAAUGUUGGAAAUACAGCCUGAAAGGUUAAUAUGAGACGAAUUUACAUCUUAAACAAUCAGCCUUAUCACUGAAGGACGUGCUAGGUAGGUCUCACCAUUUAUUCAAGUUUUUACUUACUGUUCUUUGUGUGUGUGUGUGUGUCUUUUUGCCUUUUCUAGAUCUGCUUCCGUGGCAUAUGGAGGUUUCCAGGCUAGGGGUCUAAUCGGAGCUGUAGCUGCCAG